rnacentral:rRNA from 1 species
CCUACGGGAGGCAGCAGUGGGGAAUAUUGCGCAAUGGGCGAAAGCCUGACGCAGCGACGCCGCGUGAGGGAUGAAGGUCUUCGGAUCGUAAACCUCUGUCAGCAGGGAAGAACGGUCACUGUGCUAAUCAGCAGUGAAUUGACGGUACCUGCAAAGGAAGCACCGGCUAACUCCGUGCCAGCAGCCGCGGUAAUACGGGGGGUGCGAGCGUUAAUCGGGAUUACUGGGCGUAAAGCGCUCGUAGGAGGUAUGUCAAGUCAAGGGGGAAAUCCCCGCGCGCAACGUGGGAACUGCCUUUGAAACUGGCAAACUGGAGUGGGUGAGAGGAUAGUGGAAUUCCAGGUGUAGGAGUGAAAUCCGUAGAUAUCUGGAGGAACAUCAGUGGCGAAGGCGACUAUCUGGCACAUAACUGACGCUGAGGAGCGAAAGCGUGGGUAGCAAACAGGAUUAGAUACCCGAGUAGUC